rnacentral:misc_RNA from 1 species
AUUGCGAAUACUUACGAUAAGAGAGAGAAUGCAUCAGGCUCCUCUUUAUCAAGCUUUCACUGUCAAGUAUUAUAUGGUAAUCAGUGUCUUUUACAAGCAAACAGCUUCUUGCAAUGUAUUGCAAACAAUGAUACAGAUGGAUAACUGCGCAGUAACAGCUUCGAUGGCGUCAGUCCAAAUUAAGACGCAGGAGUUGGAGACAAGUUACAAAGAUGUGAGUAAAGUGAGCAGUGAGUUGUGGCCGGAGGUCCUGAGUAGACUGAGUGCCCGGGGGGAAUGGGUGGCCAUCAGAUUCCUGGUCCUGGGCAUAGACUUCCAGUUUAUUAAUGGUUCUGCUGUUGUUGAUGUGCAAAUGAUCCCCAGGGGGGUGGCGAGAGAUGUGGAUUUUCAGGGAAUCACUUACAACACACUGUUCCAGUACCUAGAGAGCCACGAAGAUCCCACCUCCUUAAAAGACUGGAUCAUCCCUCUAGUACUGUUCCUCAUCACACAGGGGGGAGACUUUGGAACCUUAUUGAGGUUCCGAGCAUCGGAAGACGACACACCUUUUUCUGCUGCCGUUAGAUUUUGUGUACUGACAGGAGACAUUGCAUUGUUACAAAUCAUGCCAGCCACUCAAAGGCCUGCAACGAUGGAAUAUGUGGACGUUAGAGGGGAUUCCCCUUUCCACACCCUCUUAAAGAUGUCCCGCUGUCCCCAGGGAACGUUCCUGGCCACCAUAGUGAGGCUGCUUCUCCGGAAGGGCGUAUCCCCGACAGUGCGCGACCAGAGUCAGCGCCUUCCCAUUGACUACGUGAAUCGACAAAAUAACAAACAGGCGUAUGGCAUACUGAAGAAAUACACACAGCGUGAGUUUCUAAACUGUAGACAGAGAAGACCAGAGAAGGAAACAACGUCAUGUGCAGAAGAAGCAGAUACAGAAUGGGAAGAAACAGGAGACAGCAGAGAGCAGGAGGCAAAAGAGCGAGGGGGCGGUGAGGGGGCGAUAUAUACAAAUCAAGAGGACGACCGAAAAGGCCAGGUAGAAAUGAAGGCUAGAAUCUGAAGAGACUGAGAUUUACUUGUAUUUAGAUUCAGGGUAUCUCUUGCUCAUCAGCGGAAUCUCAAGAUCAUUAUUGGAUUCUGGUAGUUUUAUCCAACCAAUUUUUUUUCUAUUCAUAAAC